GCCUAUGUACGCAACUUGGUAACGCGAAUAAUUAAACAUUAUAGUUAUACUGGUUCGAUUCCAGUCGUGGGCU
rnacentral:tRNA from 2 species